rnacentral:lncRNA from 1 species
AGAGCCAGGAGGAAGCACCAGCAUCUCCAUCCUGGGCAGUCUUUCUCGGAAGAUGCAGCCACUCCUGCUCCUGGUGGCCUUUCUCCUGACCCCCAAGGCAAAGGCAGGGGAGAUCAUCGGGGGCCAUGAAGCCAAGCCCCACUCCCGCCCCUACAUGGCGUAUCUUCAGUACUGGAAUCAGGAUGUCCAGAGUAGGUGUGGUGGUUUCCUGGUUCGAGAGGACUUCGUGCUGACAGCCGCUCACUGCCAUGGAAGCUCAAUGAACGUCACCCUGGGGGCCCACAACAUCAAACAGCAGGAGAGGACCCAGCAGGUCAUCGGGGUGAGAAGAGCCAUCUGCCACCCAGACUAUAAUCCUAAAAACUUCUCCAACGACAUCAUGUUAUUAAAGGUAAACCGCCCUGCUUCUCCUGCCCUCCCGGGAUCAGCUCGUUUCCCCUCCCAGGACCUCCUACCCCUUUCUCCCCUCCCAUCCUGGCCACCUGACCAGUCCCUGUGGCUCAGGACAGAGAAGAGACACAUCAGCGUCAUUGCCGUGUCCAGGCUUGGGGACCACUGGCUGAGCCAGACUCUUGUCUCUUCCCAUCAGCUGGAGAGAAAGGCCAAGCAGACAUCAGCUGUGAAGCCCCUUAGGCUGCCCAGGGCCAAGGCCCGGGUGAAGCCAGGACAGGUGUGCAGCGUGGCCGGCUGGGGGAGGGACUCCACGGGUAGCUACGCUGACACACUGCAGGAGGUAAAGCUGACCGUGCAGGAGGACCGAAGGUGUGAGGCCUACUUACGCAACUAUUAUAACCACGCCAACCAGCUGUGUGUGGGGGACCCAAAGACGAAGAAAGCUACCUUUAAGGGGGACUCCGGAGGCCCUCUCGUGUGUGACAAUGUGGCCCAGGGCAUUGUCUCUUAUGGACAAAAAGAUGGAUCAACUCCACGGGCCUUCACCAAAGUCUCAACUUUCCUGCCCUGGAUAAAGAAAACCAUGAAAAGCCUCUGACUGCAGGAACCAGACCA